AAAACCAAAACAAGCUACAGAAAAAGGUGAAUUGUUAUCUAUGUGUUCAGAUUAUGAGUGUUAAGAUCAAGGGAGGAACUUUUGUACAUUGGAAUGAGGUUUUGUGAUCAGAUUAGUCUUUUCUGUUUCAGGAUGAUGAGAUGCAAAGCAUUAGGGAUCUGGUUGAUUCUGCGAUUACAGAUCCAGAUGUGAAGGGUGGGUUGAGAUGGCCCCUGGAGAAGACAUCUUCUGGAAAGUACAAUGUCAUUGGGGUUUGGCAUGUAAGAGCUAAAGCAUAUAAAAAUCAGUCAUUAAGAUUCAAGGUCAGGCAUGCCGAUCGAUUUGAUUUCAUAACCUCAAGUGGGGAAGCAUCUUGGGAGACCAGUCUGAGGUUGAAAAAGGUUGUCUCAGAGUUAAAUGUAAGUGCUCACAUUCCUCUGUGACUCACUCUGCCCACCUCAUGUACUACUCUCUUCUAAGCAUCUGGAGUAACCUCCUUUUUCUUUCAACUUUCAGGAAGAGAAGGUUGAUGUCAGCUCGGUUACUGAGAUGCUGGAGGAAGAUAUGAAGUUCAUCUGGGACAACUUCUUAACCUGUGAAAGUUUUCUCACAUGAAAGUAGAUGUCGUAAGUCUGUAAAUCUAUCUCUCUAUCGUUUCAAUUCGUCAUUGCAGAGUAUGAGGAUAAUUAAAAACAGAUUGCCACAGCUGGUUUACUGUUCAUGCAAUGGCGGAGUUAUGUAUUUUGACGAUUUAGUGUAAUGCAUUAAGCUACUGACUUGGUAUUUAAGCUGUCUAUUUCAUAUAUAAGAUGUUCUUCCUUUGGUUACAAUUGAGACCGGCUUUGAUAUCUUGUGGGUGGAACCCCAUUUUUGAUACCCUUUUGAUGGCAUGAGCAAGAAGCCACAAACCACAAUAUAUCUCAGGCAAUAAAUCUUCAUAGCUUUUGAUAUGUCCAUCACAUAAUGUCGAAUUGCCAUUUCUUUGCAUUGCAAUGGUGAUAGUGUCUAAAGCCUACCAAACUUGAAACUCUUGAGUAACCCGUUAGUAGUCUAAUUAGAUUAUAGAAUUUAAUCAAUAUCUCGUUAUUACAUUAUCGAUGAUUAAUUAAAAAUAAUAUCCAAUUAAAGUAUUAUUAGAAUGUUUAUCUAUGCGGCACCAUAAUACCGAAACCGAACAACAUUUACUUUCAUAAAAAUCAAAUCGCUUUUACCCAUUUAUCACACUUUAAAGUGAGAUAGUCCCUCUUUCUUUUGUUCAGCAAAUGGAGUCACUGAGCCAAAAACACCAUAAUACUAGCAGAAGAGGUUUUGGAAAUCAAAAGUUCAAAACUGAAUAUUUUUACUUUUAUACCUCAAAAUAUUAAAUAACUUUAUAAAUUUCUCCAACGUCGGGAUAUAAAGAAGCAAAGGAAAAGUAACCAAUGAGCGGUUUCCACUUUCGAGUGUAAAUAUAAAGCAUGCCAAGCGGCUUUUUCAUUCUAGUCUUUUCAUUUCCGAAUUCCGAUUGUGCUUGCAAGUCUGGUGUUUUGCCUUCAAUUCUCUCUGCCUCUUGGUAAACCCCUAAACCCUUUUGCUCUUCUUUGUUCUGCUUCUCCAUUUUUGUUACUAGUUUAUGAGAAAACCCAGUUUUACUAUCUGCUAAACACUAAUAUGUUUGUACCUCAAAACCCUUUUCAUGAUUUGUUUCAUUUUCUUUAUGAUCACUCUGUGAAUGUUGCUUUGAAUGAAUCAUCUGCUCUGUUUUUGUGUUGGUAUUGAUUUGAUUGUGUUUUCGGCUCCAGAAGUGAUCAACUACCCAGUUGAAUGUUAGUGUAAUAUGUGCUGCUGACUGAACAAAACUACAGGAACCUGAAACUAAAUUGAUUUUUCUUGAAUUAACAUAAGAAAAGUUACAUCUUGGCUUAUAAAGUUGAGUACUUGGUGGUUAAAAUUUGCCCAUCUGCUCUGUUUUUGUGUUAGCAUCAAUUUGAUAGUGUGUGUGGCUCCCCAGGAAAGUGAUCAAACUAACUACCCAGUUGAAAUUUAGGGUAGUAGUUACGGCUGAUUGAACUAAAACUACAAGAAGCUGAAAUGAGUUUGAUUUUCUGCAAUAAACAUAACAUAUGACACCUCUUGGCUUUUAUAAAAUUUCAGUACUUUAAGUCGAACUUUGCUCACUAUGCGUCUUAUUUGCAAAAAUUCCUGUUUUGCAUAUCUUACUGGGAUUUUUUUGUAUAGGCAUAAGUGGUCUUGUAAUGGCGUAUAUACCACCGCACAAGCGAAACUCAAAUGAAGCAGAGAGGCCAGUGCUAACUCCAGACAAGCUUGCUCCUUUAUUUAAGAGAAAUGUAAAUGUAAGGUCAUCUAAGUCUAAUAAUAAAUGGGGUUCAAAGGUAAUCUAUGCAGACCGUGCUAUAUCGAAAUGGUGGGCAGUUGGUUUGAAUGAUGACACCCAGUUCCCCUCUUCUGUUAAUCUUGAACCCAUUUCCUCGGAAACCAUUGAGCACAGAAUUGGAGAAAAGCCUCUAGCGUUAAGGAAUUCUGAUCUUGAUGAUGGUCAGUACUGUGAAAUUUGGCUUUAUGUGAAAAACUUUGUUUACUCUGCGUUAUGAAUCAUGUUGGUAAUGUUUUAUGUGUUUGAUGCUUGAUGCUUGAUAUUAGGUAAUGAGGUACAAUUGGACUUGCCAAAGAGCCCAUGGGUAUAUAUGGCAGAUAAUGUGCUUAAAGACCUACUUGAGUCUUUUGAAAUUGUGAAGGAGGAAGCGAAGUCCCCAAAGUUUGAAGAUCUAAAGCCUACAUUGGUUGCUCGAGUUGGAAAAGUUCUUUUCCAUAGGUUAGUGUUUCCUCUCAUUCUAAUGGGUUUAUCAGCUAAUCUUUCAUCCAUUUAACUUGAACAUCUCAUACAUUUAUCCUUUUUCUUGUUGUUUUAGCUGCGUACUAUAUGAACUUAUUUGACAAUCAUGUAUUUAGAGUAAUACUCUAGCAUAGAUGCAUGAGACUGUAAGUGAUAUGUGAUAUUUGACAAUUAUGUUUCAAGCAAUUUUUCUUUGAAGUUAAAGUAGGUUGCCUUCGUAAUAGCCAAAUUGACUGCCCAAAAUUUGAUUUGAUCGAACAAACUAAACACUUGGACCUAUUUGUGAUGUAGGAGAUUAGGUCCUCUUGAUUAAUCCAAUCUACUGCUGAUUUGAAGUGAGCAAGAAACACACACACACACACACCAACAUAUAGUCCAGGUUGGAGAGGGGACCCCUGAUUCUAAGCCUCUGCCCUUACUUUCACAUAGAACUGUGUUUUGAUAACAAUGGUUAGUUACUGUCAAUGUUCCGCUACUUCAUAUAUUUAACGAUGAAAAAGCAUAUUAUACUGAAUUAUAUUUGUAGAAAUGUAAACUAAGUGGUAAUAUUUGCAAUUCAGGACCCCUUAAGUUACCCUGGAAUCUCUCGGAGAAAAUUUGACUACUGCAAUGUUGAAAAAUUGGAAGCAAAGAUCAUUUUACACAAAUGUUCCUGUUUCGUAUACAGAGAAGAUUGUAAAUGAAGUUGUCCCGAAUAUUGGAGUUGCUUUUGAAUCGAAGAAAGAUAUAUACCAAGUAGAGGUAUUUAUCUUCCUAUACCCAUCAAUCUACUGAAUGUAUGGUUUCCAAAGUUCUGAUAUUGGCUAUUGAAACCCUCAUUUGGUUCUUCUUGAACAGUUGGCUGAUUCAACAAAGCCAGACUCAACUCUCUCCUGCAAAUGCAGUGUGAAAGAUGGAAAGCUACAACUGCAGAAGGCAAGAUUUAUAAUAGUCCUGUUAUAUUGCAUUUGGUGUUUCAUAAAUCAUGAUGAUCACACUUCUAUGUCAUCAUUUUCAAUAUGAUAUUUUUACUGCAAAUUCAUAAGAUUUAUAUAAGAAUAAUUGUUAAAUGAGGAUGAAAUCAAAUUCUGCCCUCCUUUAAGUUUCCCUUUCGCUUGUUAUAGUUCUAUUUACUGAUGCGUAUAUCAAUAAUCAACUUUCAUCCAGGUCGAACUAAACCAAGUGCGUUGUAUGGUGGUGGACAUAUCCAUCCCUAAUAAGAAUCUGGACCUGAGACUGAUGUUAAACAUGAAGAGAGUUUUAACAAGUCAGACUGUAAGUUACUUCUCCUCAUACUAUUUGAAAAUUUUUCAUUGCCAUUCUUUGUUGUUUUGGAAACACAAGGAAAUAGUUCUUAUACAUUAGCAUAGCAGCCAAAACCAAAACAAGCUACAGAAAAAGGUGAAUCGUUAUCUGUGUUCAGAUUAUGAGAGUAGGAUCAAGGGAGGAACUUUUGUACUUUGGAAUGACGUUUUGUGAUCAGAUUAGUCUUUUCUGUUCCAGGAUGAUGAGAUGCAGAGCAUUAGGAAUCUGGUCGAUUCUGCGAUUACAGAUCCAGAUGUGAAGGGCGGGUUGAGAUGGCCCCUGGAGAAGACAUCGUCUGGAAAGUACAAUGUCAUUAAGGUUUGGCACGUAAGAGCUAAAGCAUAUAAAAAUCAGUCAUUAAGAUUUAAGGUCAGGCAUGCCAAUCGAUUUGAUUUCAGAACCUCAAGUGGGGAAGCAUCUUGGGAGACCAGUCUGAGGCUGAAAAAGGUU
rnacentral:lncRNA from 1 species